rnacentral:lncRNA from 1 species
AUAUACAAGAAUUCCAAAAAAGCAAAAAUAAUUUUAGCUAGAGGAAAAUGGACUUACAGAUUCAUGUGGAGGUUCAGCAAGAAGAGAAACUCUAACCAUAGAACCAUCUCUUAAAUUAUAAGAAGAUAAAGGCUGAUCACUUUUCAUUUUAGUUGAUUUGCAAUAAAGAGCCAAAUAAUCAUCUCCCCAUGCUUUUUUAAUCACUUUUUCCAAAUCUUUUACUUUAUCACUUUUUUCAAAUCUGUUUCUUAAUGCAGCUUUCUUAAUGCAGCUUUCCCAUUUUUACUCUACUCGCCGAGGGUCGAUUGGAAGCAGCCUCUCUGCCUUUCGGGCAGGGGUAAGGCUCGUCUACAUAUUACUCUCCCCAGACCCCACCUGGUGGGAGUAUACUGGGUAGUUGUUGUUGUUGUUGUUUCACCUCUGCAUACAUCUCCGACGUCGGCUACUUCACGUUUAUCGUCAGUUUUCCUUCUCCGGUCGCCGGAAUUUUCACCUGCAAAGGUGGAGUCGAAGAAGAAGAAACCAUUUGCCUUUUUUUUUUUUCACUUCUAAUUUUUUGAUCAAGUUU